GAAACAAUACAGGUGGACUGAAUGAACUAUCUAUGGUUCUGGGGAGCUUCUUUAGCUUUCGUUGGUUCAGGUUGUUUGAAACACUCGUGUGAUAAAGAGUGUGACUGGUGAUUCCAAGGAUUUAAAACUUGGGAUCCACUAUCGGAUCAGACUCUGCUGCUGCUGAUCCAAUUCCAAGUUUGAUCGGCAACUUGGGAACUCCUUUAGCUUUGGUUGGUUCAGGUUGUUUGAAACACUCGAGUGAUAAAGAGUGUGACUGGUGAUUCCAAGGAUUU